GUGGAACAGCUGAUCCACAGACUGGGAGAGGAGAUGGGUCAUUAAGGGUCUCACCUCAUGCACAUUAAUGCUCCCCUUUCCCUUCAGAACAUGAACACUGGCUCUGGGUGUUUAAAACAGAAAUUUAACCAGACUUAUGUAAACAGGAAUGUCUAGCAGCAAAAUGAAAUAGUAGCAUAAAAAUGCAGUUGCACCAGAACUGUUAUCAAAUCGUAAGAAAACAACUGAAGUGGCAGAUGAGGGGAGAAGAGAGGAGAGAGAGAAAAACGGUGCAGUUUAUACCUCAGUGCAUAUUUCUGAUGGCUCAGUAUUUUUAAUUUCCUCCUGAGAAUUUUUGGAAAAAGACCACUCUGCUGUCAUCAUCCUGGGAUAAGCAAAAAGGAAAUGAAACUUUAAAAGACCUGAAAGGCUGUUUGGUUUUUCUUCCAUAGACUCUCACUAGAAGGUAGGCAAAGGUGUGAAGCUUUAUAAAAUAACCUGAUCUCCAGCAGAGAGGAGAAUCACACACUGAAGGGCAUUCAGCCAAACCCAGAGCCUGGAUUGCUGUGAAGUUUUAUCAGUCUCUACAUCCAGGAUGAAAGGCCAUCAAGUAAGAAAAAUAUGCACCCAAUCUUUAUAUCUUUCUACAACAGCAUGUCAACAUAUUCAUUGAUCCUGGUGAAGAGUCUGGCUCGCUUUUUGUCACAUCGCUGCCUUCACACACCCCAUGGGAGAAGUUGGCUGUGAACUCACACCAAGGCUGCACUAAAUGUUCAUAAAUGUCAUUCCCAAUGCGACUGAACUCACCCAGCCCCUGCAGGCAUGGAAUGCUGUACAGCAAAAUGCAAAAAUGGGAAACAAGAAUAGAAGGCACUUU